CAGGACGACGCUGGCGGCGUGCCUAAUACAUGCAAGUCGAACGGCUUUUCCAUGGAAGCUUGCUUCCACUGAGAAGAUAGUGGCGAACGGGUGAGUAACACGUGGGUAACCUGCCCAUAAGAGGGGGAGUAACAUCCGGAAACGGGUGCUAAUACCGCAUAGUUUUCUUGAUCGCAUGAUCGGGAAAGGAAAGACGGCCUUUGUGCUGUCGCUUAUGGAUGGACCCGCGGCGUAUUAGUUAGUUGGUGAGGUAACGGCUCACCAAGACGAUGAUACGUAGCCGACCUGAGAGGGUGAUCGGCCACAUUGGGACUGAGACACGGCCCAAACUCCUACGGGAGGCAGCAGUAGGGAAUCUUCCGCAAUGGACGAAAGUCUGACGGAGCAACGCCGCGUGAGUGAAAGAAGGUUUUCGGAUCGUAAAACUCUGUUGUCAGAGAAGAACAAGUUGGAGAGUAACUGCUCCAGCCUUGACGGUAUCUGACCAGAAAGCCACGGCUAACUACGUGCCAGCCGCGGC
rnacentral:rRNA from 1 species